rnacentral:tRNA from 1 species
GGGGAUGUGGCUCAGAGGUAGAGCACUUGCCUACUAUGUGUGAGGCCUGGGUUCAAUCCUCAGCAUCACAG